rnacentral:rRNA from 1 species
UCGUCAGACGAACGCUGGCGGCGUGCUUAACACAUGCAAGUCGAACGAUGAAGCCUUCGGGUGGAUUAGUGGCGAACGGGUGAGUAACACGUGGGGAAUCUGCCCUGCACUCUGGGACAAGCCUUGGAAACGAGGUCUAAUACCGGAUAUGACCUGGGAGCGCAUGCUUCUGGGUGUAAAGCUCCGGCGGUGCAGGAUGAUCCCGCGGCCUAUCAGCUUGUUGGUGGGGUAAUGGCCUACCAAGGCGACGACGGGUAGCCGGCCUGAGAGGGCGACCGGCCACACUGGGACUGAGACACGGCCCAGACUCCUACGGGAGGCAGCAGUGGGGAAUAUUGCACAAUGGGCGAAAGCCUGAUGCAGCGACGCCGCGUGAGGGAUGACGGCCUUCGGGUUGUAAACCUCUUUCAGCAGGGAAGAAGCGCAAGUGACGGUACCUGCAGAAGAAGCACCGGCUAACUACGUGCCAGCAGCCGCGGUAAUACGUAGGGUGCGAGCGUUGUCCGGAAUUAUUGGGCGUAAAGAGCUCGUAGGCGGCCUGUCGCGUCGGAUGUGAAAGCCCGGGGCUUAACCCCGGGUCUGCAUUCGAUACGGGCAGGCUAGAGUGUGGUAGGGGAGAUCGGAAUUCCUGGUGUAGCGGUGAAAUGCGCAGAUAUCAGGAGGAACACCGGUGGCGAAGGCGGAUCUCUGGGCCAUUACUGACGCUGAGGAGCGAAAGCGUGGGGAGCGAACAGGAUUAGAUACCCUGGUAGUCCACGCCGUAAACGUUGGGAACUAGGUGUUGGCGACAUUCCACGUCGUCGGUGCCGCAGCUAACGCAUUAAGUCCCCGCCUGGGA